AAAAGAGGAAAUAUCGAAAUAAAAAAAUAACCUAAUAUAAGAAAUCGCUUAAAUUUAACAAUUAUUUAGUUUAUGUACAGCUUAUUUGAAAACAAUAAUAAAAAAUAUAGGUCACCGAUGAGUUAAAAAAGAUAGUUCAAAUUUAAGGCCAAAAAAUGGCAUUUUUGCACCAAAGGGAGAUAAUUUGGAGCUUUUUCAAUUUUUAAAGUCAUCUGGGGCCAAACCAAAUAAUUUUUUUGGGUUGUUUUUUGUACCAUAUCAUAAAGUAACAACUAAUAGUGUAAUAAAUAAAAUUUGUAAUGAAAAAAAUAAAGGUUUAAUUUUUUGCUAAAAUUUUUGUACCCAUGAGCCACCUUAAGUAAUU
rnacentral:lncRNA from 1 species